UCCCUACGGGGUGCACCAGGCGCGAAACCUCCGCAAUGCACGCAAGUGCGACGGGGGGACCCCAAGUGCCACUCUUAACGGGGUGGCUUUUUUGGAGUGUAAAAAGCUCUAAGAAUAGUAUCC
rnacentral:rRNA from 1 species